rnacentral:misc_RNA from 1 species
UUCACCCCCAUAUGGAUGACCUAAGAGCUGGAAGGACUCAGGGGAUCUACAGCAGGUUGGGUUCUGCCCGCCUCCUUUCCUCAGAGAAAUUCAGGCGAUUUUGGGAAUUCUUAAGGGGAUCGAGUCGUAACAAGGUUUCCGUAGGUGAACCUGCAGAAGGACA